UUUUAUUUGAGAGUUUGAUCCUGGCUCAGGAUGAACGCUGGCGGCGUGCCUAACACAUGCAAGUUGAGCGAUUUACUUCGGUAAAGAGCGGCGGACGGGUGAGUAACGCGUGGGUAACCUACCCUGUACACACGGAUAACAUACUGAAAGGUAUGCUAAUACGGGAUAAUAUAUUUGAGAGGCAUCUCUUGAAUAUCAAAGGUGAGCCAGUACAGGAUGGACCCGCGUCUGAUUAGCUAGUUGGUAAGGUAACGGCUUACCAAGGCGACGAUCAGUAGCCGACCUGAGAGGGUGAUCGGCCACAUUGGAACUGAGACACGGUCCAAACUCCUACGGGAGGCAGCAGUGGGGAAUAUUGCACAAUGGGCGAAAGCCUGAUGCAGCAACGCCGCGUGAGUGAUGAAGGCCUUCGGG
rnacentral:rRNA from 1 species